GUGGGGAAUUUUGGACAAUGGGCGCAAGCCUGAUCCAGCCAUGCCGCGUGAGUGAAGAAGGCCUUCGGGUUGUAAAGCUCUUUCGGUGGGGAAGAAAUGGUUCGUGCUAAUACCACGAACUGAUGACGGUACCCGAAGAAGAAGCACCGGCUAACUACGUGCCAGCAGCCGCGGUAAUACGUAGGGUGCAGGCGUUAAUCGGAAUUACUGGGCGUAAAGCGUACGCAGGCGGUUUGCUAAGACAGGUGUGAAAUCCCCGGGCUUAACCUGGGAACUGCGCUUGUUACUGGCAAGCUAGAGUGUGGCAGAGGGGGGUAGAAUUCCAGGUGUAGCAGUGAAAUGCGUAGAUAUCUGGAGGAAUACCGAUGGCGAAGGCAGCCCCCUGGGUUAACACUGACGCUCAUGUACGAAAGCGUGGGGAGCAAACAGGAUUAGAAACCCGAGUAGUCC
rnacentral:rRNA from 1 species